rnacentral:rRNA from 1 species
CCAAUAGCGUAUAUUAAAGUUGUUGCAGUUAAAAAGCUCGUAGUUGAAUUUCGGGGUUAGUAGGUUGGUCAUGCCUCUGGUAUGUACUGGUCUCACUGAUUCCUCCUUCCUGAUGAGCCGUAAUGCCAUUAAUUUGGUGUUGCGGGGAAUCUGGACUGUUACUUUGAAAAAAUUAGAGUGUUUAAAGCAAGCUAACGCUUGAAUACAUUAGCAUGGAAUAAUGAAAUAGGACGUUCGAUCCUAUUUUGUUGGUUUCUAGGAUUGACGUAAUGAUUAAUAGGGAUAGUUGGGGGCAUUAGUAUUCAAUUGUCAGAGGUGAAAUUCUUGGAUUUAUUGAAGACUAACUACUGCGAAAGCAUUUGCCAAGGAUGUUUUCAUUAAUCAAGAACGAAAGUUAUGGGAUCGAAGACGAUCAGAUACCGUCGUAGUCUUAACCAUAAACUAUGCCGACUAGGGAUCGGAUGAUGUUAAUUUUUUAAUGACUCAUUCGGCGCCUUACG